AUUGAACGCUAGCGGGAUGCUUUACACAUGCAAGUCGAACGAGUGGCGGACGGGUGAGUAAUAUAUCGGAACGUGCCCAGUAGCGGGGGAUAACUACUUGAAAGAGUGGCUAAUACCGCAUACUCUUGGAGCGGCCGAUAUCGGGUUAGCUAGUUGGUGGGGUAAAGGCUCACCAAGGCAACGAUCCGUAGCUGGGUUGAGAGGACGACCAGCCACACUGGGACUGAGACACGGCCCAGACUCCUACGGGAGGCAGCGGAGGAGAAUGUUGGACAAUGGGGGAAACCCUGAUCCAGCCAUGCCGCGUGUAUGAGAAGGCCAUCGGGUUGUAAAGGACUUUUGGUAGAGAAGCGGUAUCUGCAGAAUAAGCACCGGCUAACUACGUGCCAGCAGCCGCGGUAAUUC
rnacentral:rRNA from 1 species